rnacentral:misc_RNA from 1 species
GUGAGUCAUCGAAUCUUUGAACGCACCUUGCGCUCCUUGGUAUUCCGAGGAGCAUGCCUGUUUGAGUGUCAUUUAAUUCUCAACCACAUCAGCUUUGAAAGCUGAGUGUGGCUUGGAUGUGGGGGUAUUUGUGCCGGUCUCUCUGAGGUCAGCUCCCCUGAAAUGCAUUAGCGGAACUGUUUGCGGUCAGUCACUGGUGUGAUAAUUAUCUACGCCCAUGACUAAGGCUGCUCUCUGUCUGUUCAGCUUCCAACCGUCCUUGUGGACAACUCUUGAAUGUUUGACCUCAAAUCAGGUAGGACUACCCGCUGAACUUAAGCAUAUCAAUAAGCGGAGGA